AUUGAACGCUGGCGGCAGNCCUAACACAUGCAAGUCGAGCGGUAACAGAAAGUAGCUUGCUAUUUUGCUGACGAGCGGCGGACGGGUGAGUAAUGCUUGGGAAUAUGCCUUUUGGUGGGGGACAACAGUUGGAAACGACUGCUAAUACCGCAUAAUGUCUACGGACCAAAGUGGGGGACCUUCGGGCCUCACGCCAAAAGAUUAGCCCAAGUGGGAUUAGCUAGUUGGUAAGGUAAUGGCUUACCAAGGCAACGAUCCCUAGCUGGUUUGAGAGGAUGAUCAGCCACACUGGGACUGAGACACGGCCCAGACUCCUACGGGAGGCAGCAGUGGGGAAUAUUGCACAAUGGGCGCAAGCCUGAUGCAGCCAUGCCGCGUGUGUGAAGAAGGCCUUCGGGUUGUAAAGCACUUUCAGUAAGGAGGAAAGGGU
rnacentral:rRNA from 1 species